UUUAUGGAGAGUUUGAUCCUGGCUCAGGAUGAACGCUGGCGGCGUGCCUAAUACAUGCAAGUCGAGCGAACGGACGAGAAGCUUGCUUCUCUGAUGUUAGCGGCGGACGGGUGAGUAACACGUGGAUAACCUACCUAUAAGACUGGGAUAACUUCGGGAAACCGGAGCUAAUACCGGAUAAUAUUUUGAACCGCAUGGUUCAAAAGUGAAAGACGGUCUUGCUGUCACUUAUAGAUGGAUCCGCGCUGCAUUAGCUAGUUGGUAAGGUAACGGCUUACCAAGGCAACGAUGCAUAGCCGACCUGAGAGGGUGAUCGGCCACACUGGAACUGAGACACGGUCCAGACUCCUACGGGAGGCAGCAGUAGGGAAUCUUCCGCAAUGGGCGAAAGCCUGACGGAGCAACGCCGCGUGAGUGAUGAAGGUCUUCGGAUCGUAAAACUCUGUUAUUAGGGAAGAACAUAUGUGUAAGUAACUGUGCACAUCUUGACGGUACCUAAUCAGAAAGCCACGGCUAACUACGUGCCAGCAGCCGCGGUAAUACGUAGGUGGCAAGCGUUAUCCGGAAUUAUUGGGCGUAAAGCGCGCGUAGGCGGUUUUUUAAGUCUGAUGUGAAAGCCCACGGCUCAACCGUGGAGGGUCAUUGGAAACUGGAAAACUUGAGUGCAGAAGAGGAAAGUGGAAUUCCAUGUGUAGCGGUGAAAUGCGCAGAGAUAUGGAGGAACACCAGUGGCGAAGGCGACUUUCUGGUCUGUAACUGACGCUGAUGUGCGAAAGCGUGGGGAUCAAACAGGAUUAGAUACCCUGGUAGUCCACGCCGUAAACGAUGAGUGCUAAGUGUUAGGGGGUUUCCGCCCCUUAGUGCUGCAGCUAACGCAUUAAGCACUCCGCCUGGGGAGUACGACCGCAAGGUUGAAACUCAAAGGAAUUGACGGGGACCCGCACAAGCGGUGGAGCAUGUGGUUUAAUUCGAAGCAACGCGAAGAACCUUACCAAAUCUUGACAUCCUUUGACAACUCUAGAGAUAGAGCCUUCCCCUUCGGGGGACAAAGUGACAGGUGGUGCAUGGUUGUCGUCAGCUCGUGUCGUGAGAUGUUGGGUUAAGUCCCGCAACGAGCGCAACCCUUAAGCUUAGUUGCCAUCAUUAAGUUGGGCACUCUAAGUUGACUGC
rnacentral:rRNA from 1 species